rnacentral:rRNA from 1 species
GCGGCGAACGGUCGCGUAACACGUAGGCAACCUGCCCGAAAGACCGGGACAACAUUCCGAAAGGGGUGCUAAUACCGGAUGUGGCCAGCGGGAGACAUCUCCUGCUGAUUAAAUCACUUGUGGCUUUCGGAGGGGCCUGCGGCCUAUCAGCUAGAUGGCGGGGUAACGGCUCACCAUGGCGACGACGGGUAGCUGGUCUGAGAGGACGAUCAGCCGGACUGGGACUGAGAUACGGCCCAGACUCCUACGGGGGGCAGCAAUUAGGAAUCUUGUGCAAUGGGCGAAAGCCUGACGCAGCGACGCCGCGUGGAGGAUGACGGCCUUCGGGUUGUAAACCUCUUUCGCCAGGGACGAAGCGCGAGUGACGGUACCUGGAUAAGAAGCACCGGCUAACUACGUGCCAGCAGCCGCGGUAAUACGUAGGGUGCGAGCGUUGUCCGGAAUUAUUGGGCGUAAAGAGCUCGUAGGCGGUUUGUCGCGUCGGCUGUGAAA